GAUGAACGCUGGCGGCGUGCCUAAUACAUGCAAGUCGAGCGAACGGACGAGAAGCUUGCUUCUCUGAUGUUAGCGGCGGACGGGUGAGUAACACGUGGAUAACCUACCUAUAAGACUGGGAUAACUUCGGGAAACCGUAGCUAAUACCGGAUAAUAUUUUGAACCGCAUGGUUCAAAAGUGAAAGACGGUCUUGCUGUCACUUAUAGAUGGAUCCGCGCUGCAUUAGCUAGUUGGUAAGGUAACGGCUUACCAAGGCAACGAUGCAUAGCCGACCUGAGAGGGUGAUCGGCCACACUGGAACUGAGACACGGUCCAGACUCCUACGGGAGGCAGCAGUAGGGAAUCUUCCGCAAUGGGCGAAAGCCUGACGGAGCAACGCCGCGUGAGUGAUGAAGGUCUUCGGAUCGUAAAACUCUGUUAUUAGGGAAGAACAUAUGUGUAAGUAACUGUGCACAUAUUGACGGUACCUAAUCAGAAAGCCACGGCUAACUACGUG
rnacentral:rRNA from 1 species